rnacentral:rRNA from 1 species
GGCUCAGGAUGAACGCUAGCGGCAGGCUUAACACAUGCAAGUCGAGGGGCAGCGAGAUUGUUAGCAAUAACGAUUGAUCGGCGACCGGCGCAAGGGUGCGUAACGCGUGAGCAACUUGCCCUUAUCAGGGGGAUAACCGGUGGAAACGCCGACUAAUACCCCAUAGUAUCACUUCAAGGCAUCUUUUAGUGAUUAAAGAAUUUCGGAUAAGGAUAGGCUCGCGUGACAUUAGCUAGAUGGCGGGUAACGGCCCACCAUGGCGACGAUGUCUAGGGGUUCUGAGAGGAAGGUCCCCCACACUGGAACUGAGACACGGUCCAGACUCCUACGGGAGGCAGCAGUGAGGAAUAUUGGUCAAUGGCCGAGAGGCUGAACCAGCCAUGCCGCGUGAAGGUCACGGCCCUACGGGUUGUAAACUUCUUUUGUUUGGGAAUAAAAGACGCUACGUGUAGCGUUCUGCAUGUACCUUACGAAUAAGCAUCGGCUAAUUCCGUG